rnacentral:rRNA from 1 species
UACGUAGGGGGCAAGCGUUGUCCGGAAUCAUUGGGCGUAAAGAGCGUGUAGGCGGCCCGGUAAGUCCGCUGUAAAAGUCAAAGGCUCAACCUUUGAAUGUCAGUGGAUACUGCCGGGCUAGAGUCCGGAAGAGGCGAGUGGAACUCCUGGUGUAGCGGUGGAAUGCGCAGAUAUCAGGAAGAACACCGACGGCGAAGGCAGCUCGCUGGGACGGUACUGACGCUGAGGCGCGAAAGCGUGGGGAGCGAACAGG